AACCUCUGUAUUGGUCAUAAAUUACAUAGCUUCAACACUGAGCAAUAUUGACAAUUAUUUUGACUUUGGCGGUCGAUUUCCUUCGAAUUGUCAACCUUCCUUCCAGCUUUCUACAGCACAGGGAGGCACUUCAAUCGUAUGGAUCGCAGGCAAUCAUGCAGAAUUGUGGAACAACACAGUAGGGAAUUAAAGAAGCGAAAAGCAUGAUGAAGACUCGAGGGGUCAUUAGUCAAAGUUGUACUCAUUGCUGAUCGAGAAGAUACGUCGCGGUUGUCUGCACCGGGACACAGCCAGCAUCAGGGUCUGUUGGCGUUUCUUUUCCAUCUUUUGUUUGGUCCGGCGACGCUCCAUAAAAGAGCCUCGCCAUCACCUUCCACGUUAAAAGCCUCGCUCUUCACAUUCCUCUCUCUCUUUCUCUCUCGUAUAAAGAAGAGCUGUGUUCGAUGGUUAUGCACGAAUGGAGGCGUGACGUAUCGUCGAUCGGAUGCUGGACAAAGAACAUCAUCGAGAAACCGGAGGCUUUGAUGGUUAAGUACUUCAGCGCGAGGUCCGUCGUGCUCCUGCUCGUCCUGGCGAUAUCGCUCCUGGUGCUGCCGCUCCUCCUGCCGCCGCUCCCGCCGCCUCCGGCACUGCUGCUCCUCGUGCCCGUCCUCAUCAUGUCUGUCCUCAUCCUCCUCGCCUUCUCGCCCGCCCACAUGCCCAACGUCAUUGUUAAUUCCGUCUGAUUUUGAUCCUCGAGACGACGACGAUCGCUCUUGCAUGAGAAACCAUCUGGUGCUUUUCCCGAGUAUCAUCUGGCGGCUCGGCCGACCAAAACCUUGUCGGAGAACUUUUGUUCGGGAGGGAAACGGAAGAUCGCUCGCGUCAGAUCCGAUGCCUGUGUCGACUAGAAUCGCCGUGGAAGAACGUGUGAAAACCUGCCCGAAGUUGAAAGAUCGCGAGACCCAGAUAGAGAGAUGAUCAAGGUUCAAGAAAGCUUCGUCACAUCGACUUGCUUCAGAUUUUCUAUUCACCGGCCGCGAUGGGUUUCGAAUUCUGCAGUCACGGAUAUUGGUAGUGCAGCGGCGGCGGCGGCAGCGAUGGCAAUCAAUCUAUGACGCGGCUGCGCUCGAAAAGCAUCCAUAGUCUCCGGCUUUUGUUUUUUGGUCAAUGCAUAGUCUCCGGCUUGACGCGGCGUUUUCUGUAUGAUGUAUAACAUGCGCAGUUGACAAGCUUGGAUCCAUUUUGACCCAUCUGGAUUUCCGACGCUUUGUGAUAUUAGCAGGCGGAGACUCUUAUCGAUUUUCAAACAACUUCUGUCUCGGAAAUAGCCUAUAAAAUUGCCCAGUGCUUCUAUA